GAUGAACGCUGGCGGCGUGCCUAAUACAUGCAAGUCGAGCGAACGGACGAGAAGCUUGCUUUUCUGAUGUUAGCGGCGGACGGGUGAGUCACACGUGGAUAACCUACCUAUAAGACUGGGAUCACUUCGGGAAACCGGAGGUAAUACCGGAUAAUAUUUUUAACCGCAUGGUUCAAAAGUGAAAGAUGGUUUUGCUGUCACUUAUAGAUGGAUCCGCGCUGCAUUAGCUAGUUGGUAAGGUACCGGCUUACCAAGGCCACGCUGCAUAGCCGACAUGUGAGGCUCAUCAGCCACACUCGAGCUGAGACGCGUUCCCAGCACCUAAGGAAGGCACAAGUAGAGAAUAUUACGCGAUAGGCGAAAGCCUGACGUAGCAACGCCGCGCAACAGACGAAGGUCCAGCGAUAUUAAAACUCUCUUAUUAGGGAUGAAGCUAUGUGUAUUUAUCUGUGCAUAUCUUGACGGUAUCCAAUCAGGAAGCAUCGGCUACCUACUUG
rnacentral:rRNA from 1 species